UACGAAGGGGGCAAGCGUUGUUCGGAAUUACUGGGCGUAAAGGGCGCGCAGGCGGCCAGACAAGUCAGAUGUGAAAGCCCCGGGCUCAACCUGGGAAUAGCAUUUGGGACUGUUUGGCUAGAGAUCGGGAGAGGAGAGUGGAAUUCCCAGUGUAGAGGUGAAAUUCGUAGAUAUUGGGAAGAACACCAGUGGCGAAGGCGGCUCACUGGCCCGGUACUGACGCUGAGGUGCGAAAGCGUGGGGAGCAAACAGG
rnacentral:rRNA from 1 species